GACGAACGCUGGCGGCGUGCUUAACACAUGCCAGUCGAACGGAAAGGCCCUGCUUUUGUGGGGUGCUCGAGUGGCGAACGGGUGAGUAACACGUGAGUAACCUGCCCUUGACUUUGGGAUAACUUCAGGAAACUGGGGCUAAUACCGGAUAGGAGCUCCUGCUGCAUGGUGGGGGUUGGAAAGUUUCGGCGGUUGGGGAUGGACUCGCGGCUUACCAGCUUGUUGGUGGGGUAGUGGCUUACCAAGGCUUUGACGGAUAGCCGGCCUGGGAGGGUGACCGGCCACAUUGGGACUAAGAUACGGCCCAGACUCCUACGGGAGGCAGCAGUGGGGAAUAUUGCACAAUGGGCGGAAGCCUGAUGCAGCAACGCCGCGUGCGGGAUAACGGCCUUCGAGUUGUAAACCGCUUUCGCCUGUGACGAAGCGUGAGUGACGGUAAUGGGUAAAGAAGCACCGGCUAACUACGUA
rnacentral:rRNA from 1 species